rnacentral:lncRNA from 9 species
UUUUUUUUUUUUGUCUUUUUGCCAUUUCUUGGGCUGCUCCCGGCAUAUGGAGGUUCCCAGAAGAGACAAUUAAUUAAUUAAUUAAUUAAAUAAGAAAAGAUUUUUAAAGGCAUAUGAGAAAGUAUAUUUCACUUCUCAUUCAAUACAACACAGUCCAUUGAGAGGAACUGGUCACCUCAGGGAAUGAAGUUUUAUUUAGCACAAACAGGAGAGGUUUUCAAUUAGUAUGUCUAUUCUUUAAUAAUUUCAUCAUUCUUCCGAGAUUAUAAAAGCAGUACAUCCUAGGUAAAAAAAAUUGAGAAAAAAGAUCACCCACAAUAUUAUUACCUAGAGAUAAUAAGCUCUUAUUAGUAUUUGGCAUACAUACUUUCUUUUAAGAUUUCUAUAUACAGAGCUUUUGUCCAUAUUAAAGAAAAUUAGGGAGCUCCCAUUGUGGCUCAGUGGGUUAUGAACCCGACUAGCAUACAUGAGGAUGCAGGUUUGAUUCCUGGCCUUGCUCAGUGGGUUAAGGAUCUGGCAUUGCUGUGAGCUGUGCUGUAGGUCGAAUAUGAGGCUCAGAUCCUGCAUUGCUGUGGCUAGUGGCGUAGGCUGGCAGCUGCAGCUCUGAUUCAACACCCUAGCCUGGGAACUUCCAUAUGCCAAAGGUGUGUCCCUGAAAAGCAAAAAAAAAAAAAAAAAAAAAAAAAAAAUCAUACAUUAAGCAUAUUCUCAUCCCAUUCUGUUUUUCUAAAUAUCAUUCCAUAUCAAUAAAUAUUGGCCUCUACCAUCCUGUUUAAAGAUUGCACAGUAUUUCACUAUAUGGAUAGGCCCUAAUGACUUAAUCAAUCCUUUAUUAAUAGGGGUUUAGGUUACUUUCCAUGUUUUGCUGUUGCAAAAAACAGGGCAAUGAGCAAUCUGGUACAUAUGACUGUUUCUUUAAGAUAAAUUCCUAGACGAUAGCUUGUCAUUUUAUAACUCUGGAUCCAUAUUGCCCCAAGUGUCACCCAUAAAAUACAUACCAAAUUUACCUUUUUCAAAAGAAGGAAACCCUUAAAUUUAAGAGUAAUAGCAUAUUUUACAUUUCUAAUAUUUAGAUUAAGCAACCAAAAACUUUAAAAAUUCAAUUUAUCUCUAAAAAUCUAAAAUAUCAAUUCAUGCCUCUGAUAUUGCAUUAGAAUUACAUUUGGAGGGGGGGAAUUCUAAAAUACCUAAUAAACCGGUUUUGUUUUCAGCAUUUAUUAAUUUGAAAACUUAAACUCUGAAAAGAAUAUACUUGCUAUAAAACAAGCAAAUUAGUAGGGAAAACUAAAAGGCAAGGAGAGAGGCAAAAAAUACACUAAUCAGUUAUAGCAGCCACCAGGUCACCAAAUCUGAAUCCUAUACAAGGGCUGAGAAAGAAGCAUCAAGAAAAAGAGAAAAGGUGACAACUAAAAGAAACAGCUUUCAGAGACUCAGUGAUGGCUGGAUUAAAUUACACACAGACAUAUACAUCUACAUGCUCUGUAUAGAACCAAUCCUGAAGCUAAUCUCUAGGGGUUAGAACACAAGAGGAACCUUUGUGUGCUUUAUUUAACCAAACAUCAUGUACAAGGGGAUGGGGGAGGCCAGAUACAGGGAAGAGUGUCUAGGUAGCAGCUUGAGGGCCUAGUAUCAACUACUUCCCCUCCUGGGCACCAGGAGGGUAACAGGAACUUGAGGCAUAAAGCAGCUCCAAAGGCACUUAUUCCCUUCAAAACCAACACAAAUGACAAGGCUCAAUCAUCAAGUUCUUUGGCAAACUGGGCAAGGUGAGACUAUUUUUACCAACAAAUAAUUUACUGGAGAGCACCAUGUUUGUGCCUAGGAGGGGAAGGCCACAUAUUAUAACUAAUCUACUGGAGUUUCAUCCUAAUGGGGAAGGCAGGGACAUUAGAUAAAGCAACCAUAACAAAAGCACUGAACAUUUAAGAUGGAAAAUGGCAGUGUGUAUAGGGGUAAGAGGAGGUACUGUUGCUUGCUAACACCACACACCUAUAGGACUUGGGGUCUAACAUUCUUCUAGGCAAGGGCUCAGUAAACUAUGGCCCUUGAAUGGGUCAAAUCCAAUUCUGACUUAUGCUAUGAGCCAUUACCUAUAUAUAACACUUUUAAAUGGUUGAAAAAUUCUUAAAACUGUUUCCCAGCAUACAAAAAUUUCAUGAAAUUCAAACAUCAGUGUCCACAAAGUUUUACUGAACACAGCCAUGCCCACUCCUGGUCAAUGGCUACCUUCUCCAUGCACUGAGUUGGGAGGCUCUAAAUGCUUCAUGCUUGUUAGUUUGGCCCUGACAUACCCAGAAUUUAGACAUAGCCUGCUAGCCUAACAGAGAAUGCAGCCCCAUUUUUAAGAACAGCAGGCAGGUCUAAUUGGUUCUAUGGAUGCUGGGGUACUAGCCAAAUAGUAACCAGAAAAAUGUGAAAGGUUUUUUGAGUUGAAAGUAGAAUGGUCUCAGAAGGUGUGUGUUGGGGUGAGUAGGAUUAAAGGUUUCUCUCUGAAAGAAUACAUGAGCUAUCUCCUUGGACAAGAGAAUGAAACCGUCCUCAAAAUGACUACUACCUUUAGGAGCUUAGCACUGAGCAAAGCCUUUUGCCUUUAUUAUCUCAUUUAAUCUCAAACCCAGGUUCAAGUCUAAGCCUGUGUUCCUAACCACUCCCUGACUUAAAAGCACAAGACAACAAUGUUCACCAGGACUAAAAGAGAGGAAAAGACCACAGGAACAGUGGAAGGUUAUUUUAUGGCCAUGAGCAUCAGAAGUGUUCUAUUCAUCUCUCUCCUCCCUCUCCCUCUUUCUCCUUAUAGUAACAUCAUUUCCUUUAAAGAAAGUAAAAUGCAACUUAUUUCUUCCAGGAACUUGCUUGUUGAGAAAAACUGAUGCAGGUACUCAAACAUGGAGACAUUUUAAAGAUGUCACCAUCAAAGUUAUAGAUCUAACUUCUACUAAAUGCAAUCAAUGUGUAAGGGUCUCCAAAAGAAGGGGGUGAGGAAACAUUUUUUGAGGCAAUGGUUUAGAAAGCACAUAUACAGUUUAAUUUAGAUUUUUCAUUUAAAGUACAAUGAGGAGUAACAGUUAAAUGAAUCUUACUCAAAGAAAGGGCUAUGAUGCUGGUAGGCAGCUGAAUCUUUCUUACUAGGAUCCAUGUUCUUUGCUUUGCCAACUAUACCACCAUUUUCCUUCAAGUUCUCCAAAAAGCCUACAAUUAUAAGAACCACUCAAUCCUAACUCAUUUUGUGAAAACCAGAUUUUUAAGAAGUUUCACUUGGUUGAUAUUUUCAUCAUACUUAUUUGCAGAUAACGUAUACCAUUAUUAUAUAACAUGUUUGUACAUAUUUACUUGGGUGUUUAUGAAUGGUUACCAACAUCUAGCUCCCAAGUUCUUCCUGUGCACCAAAUGAGGGGCUCAGAGUUUCAUACAGGGAACUUCCUGCAAGGCUCCCAACACUUCUACUAGGUAGGCUUUAUCUAGAUGAGGAACCUCAGGGUCAGGCAGGAUAAGUACAUACAGUGAAUGAGAACGAAAGAACCCAGAUUUGGACUUAAGCCUGUUUUGACUCAGAAACUGUGUUUUUCCCAUAGCAUUCUGCCAAGGCACCAACACAUUUCCUUAGACUAUCUCUCAGUCAAAUUUGCUGGAGAGCAGUAAGGGUGUGGAGUUGAAUAAACGAUUAGCUCUAAGAGUGGUUACUGGGCUAAAGCCUCUGCGUAUCGACAAUAAAUCCAUUUGAUCUAAUGUUUUUUGAUUUGUUUGGGUUUUUUCUGCUUUUUAGAGCUGCACCGAAGGCACAGAGAAGUACCCAUGCUAGACGUCCAACAGGGACUGCAGUUGCCAGCCUACACCACAGCCACUGCAAUGUGGAUCCGAGCUACAUCUGCAAUCUACACCACGGCUCACAGCAUUGCCAGAUUCUUACCCACUGGGUGAGGCCAGGGAUUGAACCUACGUCCUCAUGGAUACUAGUUGGGUUCAUUACUGCUGAGCAGAGAUGGGAACUC